UCAGUCAUAACUCAGGGCAACCAGCCGAGUGGUUGGUUACUCAAGGUGUUGUAAUAAUUGAACUAUUAUGAUUUAUUAUUAUUAUUAUUAUUAUAUAAAUGAACAUCUGCGUACGUUCCCGUACAGUGAGUGAAGUCCUCAAGAGUACUCCUCCUCCUCCUACAUGACACGUUUCUUAGUCAUUGGUGCAUGAACACAUCUGAGGAUGGGUCAGAACUUGUGCUGCCCUAAAAAGGGGCAACAACCCCAAAACCACCAUGGACAGUUUGACAAUAUCGAACCCAUGCCAACACCGAUGCAGGAACUAGCACCACCCAUAUACAACGAAGUCAAUGGAAUUCAUUACUCGAUGCCCCGUGCCCAUGGCAUUUCCUACCAUGUUGAAGGUAAAGCGGAUGGCAACACCUCCAUGACACCUCCCCAUGGUGGUGGAGGAAACCCACGGUAUUAUCCAGACCCGUCGAGAGGCAGACCUGCUUAUAACUCCCAACAACAUGGAGUUGAUGUUAUCCGCUCAAAUUCAGGACAAGGGUUACCAGCACAUGGUUGGGUCCAGCAGCAUCAUGGUAGCCACAUGCGGAUGCGGAAGGAGUCGGUUAGGUGUUCUCAUCGCUGGACACCCAGAUCCAAUACACCAGAACCAGUUACACCUUCGACUCCUUCACGUGGAGGACGCAUUGUGGUGGCCAUGUAUGCAUUCCAGGGGCGCAGUAGUGGUGAACUUAGCUUUGAUAAAAGCGAUAAAAUGGAGAUCCUUAAUGAUGCUGAUGCGGACUGGUGGUUGGCGAGACACAUGACGAGAGGAACAGAAGGCUACAUACCAAAAAAUUACGUAGCGUCUGCGUCUUCCCUUGAAUGUCAAGACUGGUACUUCGGCAAGAUAGCAAGAAAGGAAGCGGAGAAAUUGUUAAUGACUCGAGGAAACUUAAGAGGGACUUUCCUCAUCCGCAUGUCUGAACAGUCUAGUCAUGGGUAUUCCCUCAGUAUAAGGGACUGGGACCAACACAAGGGUGAACACGUCAAGCACUACCGUAUCAAAGUCACAGACACAGGAGGAUAUUUUAUCACAUCGUCGCAAGCCUUCCGAACACUGAAUGACUUGGUUGAUGCCUAUAAAAAGAACAAUUACGGACUAGCGUGCCUCUUGCAGUAUCCUUGUCCACGGCCACAACCCCAGAAGUGGGACUUGUCUCGAGAGACAAAAGAUCAGUGGGAGAUUGAUCGUUCUGUCCUUUCCAUGGAUAAAAAGUUGGGACAGGGUUCAUUUGGUGAAGUGUGGUAUGGAAUGUGGAAUAACUCGACAGAGGUAGCCAUCAAAACUCUUAAACAAGGAGCAAUGAGUCCCUCUGCCUUCCUGGAAGAAGCAAGAAUCAUGAAAAAAUUACGACAUCGUAACAUACUAGUUUUGUAUGCUGUCUGUACCAAGGAGGAACCAAUCUUAAUUGUCACCGAGUACAUGUGUAAUGGUGCUUUAUUAGAUUUGCUCAGGAAUGAAGGCGAACGCUCCUUAAAACUAAAUGACCUUAUAUAUGUGGCUACACAGGUUGCAGCAGGGAUGGCAUAUCUUGAAAGCCUACAGUUACUACAUAGAGAUUUAGCUGCUCGCAAUGUAUUAGUUGGCGAUUCUUUGCUGUGCAAAGUUGCUGAUUUUGGCCUUGCAAGAAUAGUUGAGGGUGAAGACUACUGUCCCAGCACCUGUAACAAGUUUCCUGUUAAGUGGACAGCACCAGAAGCGAUGUUAUACAACCGUUUCACUAUCAAGUCAGAUGUCUGGUCAUUUGGAGUACUUCUAAUGGAAGUCGUCACAUAUGGUGCUAACCCAUAUCCAGGGAUGAACAACCGAGAGGUCAUAGAGCGAGUACAAGCAGGUUACCGGAUGGCCAAGCCUACCAGAUGUCCAGAUGAAUUAUACAAAGCCAUGCUCCACUGCUGGGACAAGGAUCCUGAUCACCGACCCACCUUUGACUUCUUGCAUCACUUCUUCGAUGACUACCAGGUCUCCUCCGAAAUACCCUAUCGCGACAUCCACGACUAAUAACAACAUGACCCCUGCCUGACCUCCACCCUCUAAUUCAGACCCUCCCAGGCCAGGACAUCCUGGGGAUGACCAAUCGAGAGGUUGCAGAAGCGGUGCCCAAUGGAUAUCGAAUGGGUAAACCAAUCAAUCAACACUGUCCUGAUCCUCUCUAUGAACUCAUGUGUAAAUGUUGGAACUUGGAUCCUGUACAAAGACCUACAUU
rnacentral:misc_RNA from 1 species